UGUAUGAUAUUCCUAGGGUGUA
rnacentral:piRNA from 1 species